UCCCUCCUCACCAAUUUGAAAAGGAGCUCGGUGAACAGACUGGGCAAAGCAAGAGCCCUCUUUCUACGUGCCUUAGGGUGGUGAUGGGGCAGCCAAAGACCAAGCGCUUCAGCUGAGGGAUACAGAUUAGAGAUGAGGACCUAACUCCAAAGAGUAACUCUUUGCUGAAGUGACUUCACAGAGGGAAGUAAGCAGUAAUUCAAUGCAGCCUUAGGUAGAGAGCUUCUCUAUGAAUAAUGGGAAAUAAAGUUAAAGAAAAUGAUGCAAAUAACGCAAGAAAAAAAUACCGAUGAUCAGAAAAAAGAAAAGUAUUUGAGAUCUGAAAGAUCCUCAAAAUAGAGAAGAGCCAACGAGUUCAUACACUGAAUCAGCUAAAUCCUGUCUCACAUUUUCACUGUAGCCAGAAGAGCCACUCUGGUCAAGUAGAAACCCAGAAGUUUGCCGUCAUUUCAUCCAGGGUCUGCAGUUCUUUUUAGAAUAAAAUGAAGAUUCCUGUAAGAUAAUAAAAAGUUCACUGGUCCUGCUUUUGAAGGCUCUUAAGGAAAAAAUCAUUUAAAUAAACUUUGUUGUGAGGACAAGGAGGUAGGCAAAAGUCAUCUUUUUACUACUUUGCCUCAAUCUCAGUAAUAUUUACAUUAUUUUCAUAUAAUCUAAUUUGUGUAUAGGUCAAGUUUUUUUCUGUUUUGUAGUGUUAUAUUGUCUUUGUGUCUGGUUUAGAUCUUAAAGGUUGUGCUAAGUAUCUCAUGAGCUAUAAUAGUUUCAGUCUGCUUACCAUAGUCACUGUAGUUCAUUUCUGCCUAGCUUUUCAAGUAUCCUCCAUUAACUGCGAGGAUAGUCCAUUUCACAAUCAAGUCAACUUAUAUCUGUCUGGAUUACACUCUAAGGUUUCCUGACCCUUUCUGAGUCACCACUUAUUACUUAAAUCUUAAACUUCAUUUCUGUGCUUGACAGCAAUGCCAUUGUUUUGCUUAUUUUCUGAUUGGAAGGCUGGCAGUCUCUUCUGAGACUGAUGCCAACAGAGCUCUGUGUAUCAGCCAGUAGGAGUCACUUGGAGCAGAUGGUCAUCAUCCUUCCCCACAGCCCAAAUCCCUGGUCUGGGUGGCAAAGUCCCAAGACCACACCUACAUACAUGCCAACUGUCCUUAUUUACUAAGAUACUCCUUAUUUGUUUAGCUUAAUAAAUCAUUUGCCCUAAUAUCUUUCUAAUGAACUUAUGUUCUCAUUUCAAUUUUCUUUAAUAUAUCUUCUUAUUAGCAUCUCUCCCCUCUGUCCCUAUCCUUUAUUGCCCAUACUAUUAGAAUGUACAUUUUUAAAUUCAAAUCUUUUUUUUGGUUUCAUAAAUGUUCAUCUUUACAGAGAUUUUAUAUACUUACUGGUAUAUAUGUAAUAAAUAGAAAUUCUAUUCUGGUGAAAAAAGUAUAUUGACUCCUUC